GAUGAACGCUGGCGGCGUGCCUAAUACAUGCAAGUCGAGCGAACAGACGAGGAGCUUGCUCCUCUGACGUUAGCGGCGGACGGGUGAGUAACACGUGGAUAACCUACCUAUAAGACUGGGAUAACUUCGGGAAACCGGAGCUAGUACCGGAUAAUAUGUUGAAUCGCAUGGUUCAACAGUGAAAGACGGUCUUGCUGUCACUUAUAGAUGGAUCCGCGCCGCAUUAGCUAGUUGGUAAGGUAACGGCUUACCAAGGCAACGAUGCGUAGCCGACCUGAGAGGGUGAUCGGCCACACUCGAACUGAGACACGGUCCAGACUCCUACGGGAGGCAGCAGUAGGGAAUCUUCCGCAAUGGGCGAAAGCCUGACGGAGCAACGCCGCGUGAGUGAAGAAGGUCUUCGGAUCGUAAAACUCUGUUAUUAGGGAAGAACAAAUGUGUAAGUAACUAUGCACGUCUUGACGGUACCUAAUCAGAAAGCCACGGCUAACUACGUG
rnacentral:rRNA from 1 species